UACGGGGGGGGCAAGCGUUGUUCGGAAUUACUGGGCGUAAAGGGCGUGUAGGUGGCCAACUAAGUCCGACGUGAAAUCCCCAGGCUCAACUUGGGAACUGCGUCUGAUACUGGAUGGCUUGAAUUCGGGAGAGGGAUGCAGAAUUCCAGGUGUAGCGGUGAAAUGCGUAGAUAUCUGGAGGAAUACCGGUGGCGAAGGCGGCUCCCUGGUCCGGUUCUGACGCUGAGGCGCGAAAGCCAGGGGAGCAAACGGG
rnacentral:rRNA from 1 species